rnacentral:rRNA from 13 species
GAUCAAGCGACUAAGUGCAUAUGGUGGAUGCCUUGGCGAUCACAGGCGAUGAAGGACGUAGUAGCCUGCGAAAAGCUGCGGGGAGCUGGCAAACAAGCAUUGAUCCGCAGAUAUCCGAAUGGGGAAACCCACGGCAAGCGGUAUCCCUGGCUGAAUACAUAGGCCAGUGGAGGCGAACCGGGUGAACUGAAACAUCUCAGUAGCUCGAGGAAAAGAAAUCAACCGAGAUUCCGAAAGUAGUGGCGAGCGAAAUCGGAAGAGCCUUUACGAUUUAGCAUUUUGCAUAGUCGAACGGAAUGGAAAGUCCGGCCGUAGCAGGUGAUAGCCCUGUAGACGAAAUGCAGAGUGUGGAACUAGGCGUAAGAGAAGUAGGGCGGGACACGUGAAAUCCUGUCUGAAGAUGGGGGGACCAUCCUCCAAGGCUAAAUACUCGUGAUCGACCGAUAGUGAACCAGUACCGUGAGGAAAGGCGAAAAGAACCCCGGAAGGAGUGAAAUAGAUCCUGAAACCGUAUGCAUACAAACAGUCGGAGCCUCUUUAUGGGGUGACGGCGUACCUUUUGUAUAAUGGGUCAGCGACUUACAUUCAGUGGCGAGCUUAACCGAAUAGGGAAGGCGUCAGAANAGCAGNUCCGAAUAGGGCGUCCAGUCGCUGGGUGUAGACCCGAAACCAGAUGAUCUACCCAUGGCCAGGUUGAAGGCACGGUAACACGUCGUGGAGGACCGAACCCACUAGUGUUGAAAAACUAGGGGAUGAGCUGUGGAUAGGGGUGAAAGGCUAAACAAAUCUGGAAAUAGCUGGUUCUCUCCGAAAACUAUUUAGGUAGUGCCUCAAGUAUUACUGCAGGGGGUAGAGCACUGUUAUGGCUAGGGGGUCAUGGCGACUUACCAAACCAUGGCAAACUCCGAAUACCUGCAAGUACAGCUUGGGAGACAGACGACCGGGUGCUAACGUCCGGACUCAAGAGGGAAACAACCCAGACCGCCAGCUAAGGUCCCGAAUUAUCGCUAAGUGGGAAACGAAGUGGGAAGGCAUAGACAGUCAGGAGGUUGGCUUAGAAGCAGCCACCCUUUAAAGAAAGCGUAAUAGCUCACUGAUCGAGUCGUCCUGCGCGGAAGAUGUAACGGGGCUAAGCGAUAAACCGAAGCUGCGGGUGUGCACUUUUAGUCAGGCGGGUAGGAGAGCGUUCUGUAAGCCUGCAAAGGUGGCUUGUAAAGGCUGCUGGAGGUAUCAGAAGUGCGAAUGCUGACAUGAGUAGCGAUAAAGGGGGUGAAAAGCCCCCUCGCCGUAAGUCCAAGGUUUCCUGCGCAACGUUCAUCGGCGCAGGGUGAGUCGGCCCCUAAGGCGAGGCAGAGAUGCGUAGCUGAUGGGAAGCUGGUUAAUAUUCCAGCACCGUCGUACAGUGCGAUGGGGGGACGGAUCGCGGAAGGUCAUCAGGGUGUUGGACGUCCCUGUUGCUGCAUUGAAGAUGGCGCUUAGGCAAAUCCGGGCGCGAGAAUCAAGGGUGUGGCACGAGCGAGCAAGUCUCGCGAAGUGAUUGGAAGUGGUUCCAAGAAAAGCCUCUAAGCUUCAGCUGUACGAGACCGUACCGCAAACCGACACAGGUGGGACGGGAUGAAUAUUCCAAGGCGCUUGAGAGAACUCAGGAGAAGGAACUCGGCAAAUUGAUACCGUAACUUCGGGAGAAGGUAUACCCUGGUAGUGUGAAGCCUGCGCGCUGAGCAUGAAGGGGUCGCAGAGAAUCGGUGGCUGCGACUGUUUAUUAAAAACACAGCACUCUGCAAAGACGAAAGUCGACGUAUAGGGUGUGACGCCUGCCCGGUGCCGGAAGGUUAAGUGAUGGGGUGCAAGCUCUUGAUCGAAGCCCCGGUAAACGGCGGCCGUAACUAUAACGGUCCUAAGGUAGCGAAAUUCCUUGUCGGGUAAGUUCCGACCUGCACGAAUGGCGUAACGAUGGCCACACUGUCUCCUCCUGAGACUCAGCGAAGUUGAAGUGUUUGUGAUGAUGCAAUCUACCCGCGGCUAGACGGAAAGACCCCAUGAACCUUUACUGUAGCUUUGCAUUGGACUGUGAACCGGCCUGUGUAGGAUAGGUGGGAGGCGCAGAACUCGAGUCGCCAGAUUCGAGGGAGCCAUCCUUGAAAUACCACCCUGGUUUGUUUGCGGUUCUAACCUUGGUCCGUUAUCCGGAUCGGGGACAGUGCAUGGUAGGCAGUUUGACUGGGGCGGUCUCCUCCCAAAGCGUAACGGAGGAGUUCGAAGGUACGCUAGGUACGGUCGGAAAUCGUGCUGAUAGUGCAAUGGCAUAAGCGUGCUUGACUGUGAGACUGACAGUGCGAACAGGUGCGAACGGGACAUAGUGAUCCGGUGGUUCUGAUGGAAGGGCCAUCGCUCAACGGAUAAAGGUACUCUGGGAUAACAGGCUGAUACCGCCCAAGAGUUCAUAUCGACGGCGGUGUUUGGCACCUCGAUGUCGGCUCAUCUCAUCCUGGGCUGUAGCCGGUCCAAGGGUAUGCUGUUCGCCAUUUAAAGAGGUACGUGAGCUGGGUUUAAAACGUCGUGAAGACAGUUUGGUCCCUAUCUGCCGUGGGCGUUGGAUACUUGAACAGGAGCCUGCUCCUAGUACGAGAGGACCGGAGUGGACGUACCUCUGGUGUACCGGUUGUCAUGCCAAUGGCAUUGCCGGGUAGCUAAGUACGGAAGAGAUAACCGCUGAAGGCAUCUAAGCGGAAACUCGUCUGAAGAUUAGGUAUCCCGGGACUAGAUCCCCCUGAAGGGUCGUUCGAGACCAGGACGUUGAUAGGUCGGGUGUGGAAGCGCAGUAAUGCGUUAAGCUAACCGAUACUAAUUGCCCGUGAGGCUUGAUCCUAUAACUCUCAAGUCUUAAUUAUUACCGCUGGACAGUAACGCCAGCGCCGUUCAUACCAACACAACAUACACAGCAACGGGUCGCUGCCAGUCCCAACCGACUGCCAGGCGACGCUGUGCUUCUUCCAGAUUCAAGCCGUU